GGUUAGUUAGCUCAGUCGGUAGAGCAUUCGGCUGUUAACCGAAAGGUCAAGGGUUCGACCCCCUUACUGACCG
rnacentral:tRNA from 1 species